GUAAAGCACCAGAAAGAGAAGAGAAGCAAGUAGAAGAGUUUCAGCAUCUGCUGAGAACAUACAAUACAUAAGACAAAGUUACAUCUUUCUUUAAGGCCAGUACCUUGGGAGGAACAAUGACAUCACUUCCUGAAUCCUCCCAGUUUUCUAUUUCCUGCCCUGCUUCCAUCAACAUCCAGAGCUGGAAGCACCUCCAUCCUGCCUCUCCCUGCCAUGGCCUCCCUGCGCCUCUUCUGUGUGGCCUUUUUUCUCCUGGGAACAGGGUCCAUGGAUUCUGGUGUUACCCAGACCCCAAGAAAUAGGAUCACAAAGAAAGGAAAGAAGAUUAUGCUGGAAUGUUCUCAGACUAGGGGUGAUAAUCAAAUGUACUGGUAUCGACAAGACCCAGGACUGGGGCUACAGUUGAUCUACUACUCCAUUGGUGUCGGAGAUAGAAACGAAGGAGAGAUCUCUGAUGGAUACAGUGUCUCUCGACAGGAACAGUCUAAAUUCUCCCUGUCCGUAGAGUCUGCCAUCCCCAAGCACACAGCUCUUUACUUCUGUGCCACCAGUUAUUAGCACAGUGCUUCUUG